rnacentral:rRNA from 1 species
GAGGAAUAUUGGUCAAUGGACGAGAGUCUGAACCAGCCAAGUAGCGUGAAGGAUGAAGGUUCUAUGGAUUGUAAACUUCUUUUAUACGGGAAUAAACGAAUCCACGCGUGGAUUUUUGCAUGUACCGUAUGAAUAAGGAUCGGCUAACUCCGUGCCAGCAGCCGCGGUAAUACGGAGGAUCCGAGCGUUAUCCGGAUUUAUUGGGUUUAAAGGGAGCGUAGAUGGGUUGUUAAGUCAGUUGUGAAAGUUUGCGGCUCAACCGUAAAAUUGCAAUUGAUACUGGCAGUCUUGAGUACAGUUGAGGUAGGCGGAAUUCGUGGUGUAGCGGUGAAAUGCUUAGAUAUCACGAAGAACUCCGAUUGCGAAGGCAGCUUACUGGAUUGUAACUGACGCUGAUGCUCGAAAGUGUGGGUAUCAAACAGGAUUAGAUACCCUGGUAGUCCACACAGUAAACGAUGAAUACUCGCUGUUGGCGAUAUACGGUCAGCGGCCAAGCGAAAGCAUUAAGUAUUCCACCUGGGGAGUACGCCGGCAACGGUGAAACUCAAAGGAAUUGACGGGGGCCCGCACAAGCGGAGGAACAUGUGGUUUAAUUCGAUGAUACGCGAGGAACCUUACCCGGGCUUAAAUUGCAACUGACUGAACCGGAAACGGUUCCUUCUUCGGACAGUUGUGAAGGUGCUGCAUGGUUGUCGUCAGCUCGUGCCGUGAGGUGUCGGCUUAAGUGCCAUAACGAGCGCAACCCUUAUCGAUAGUUACUAGCAGGUCAUGCUGAGGACUCUAUUGAGACUGCCGUCGUAAGAUGUGAGGAAGGUGGGGAUGACGUCAAAUCAGCACGGCCCUUACGUCCGGGGCUACACACGUGUUACAAUGGGGGGUACAGAAGGCAGCUACACGGCGACGUGGUGCUAAUCCCGAAAGCCUCUCUCAGUUCGGAUUGGAGUCUGCAACCCGACUCCAUGAAGCUGGAUUCGCUAGUAAUCGCGCAUCAGCCACGGCGCGGUGAAUACGUUCCCG